CACGUAGGGGGCAAGCGUUGUCCGGAUUUAUUGGGCGUAAAGAGCUCGUAGGCGGCUCAGUAAGUCGGGUGUGAAACCUCCAGGCUCAACCUGGAGACGCCACCUGAUACUGCUGUGGCUAGAGUCCGGUAGGGGAGCGUGGAAUUCCUGGUGUAGCGGUGAAAUGCGCAGAUAUCAGGAGGAACACCAGCGGCGAAAGCGGCUCUCUGGGGGUUUCUGACGCUGAGGCGCGGAAA
rnacentral:rRNA from 1 species